UUCCAUCUGGAAGAAAGUACUGGAGGACAGGUGCUGCAUGGCUGUCGUCAGCUCGUGUCGUGAGAUGUUGGGUUAAGUCCCGCAACGAGCGCAACCCUUGCCUUUAGUUGCCAGCAGUUCGGCUGGGCACUCUAAAGGGACUGCCGGUGUUAAACCGGAGGAAGGUGGGGAUGACGUCAAGUCCUCAUGGCCUUUAUGACCAGGGCUACACACGUACUACAAUGGCCGAUACAAAGGGCAGCGACACUGCGAGGUGAAGCCAAUCCCGUAAAAUCGGUCUCAGUCCGGAUUGGAGUCUGCAACUCGACUCCAUGAAGUUGGAAUCGCUAGUAAUCGUGGAUCAGCAUGCCACGGUGAAUACGUUCCCGGGCCUC
rnacentral:rRNA from 1 species